GUGAGUCAUCGAAUCUUUGAACGCACAUUGCGCCCGCCGGCAUCCCGGCGGGCAUGCCUGUUCGAGCGUCAUUUCAACCCUCAGGCCUCGCCUGGUGUUGGGGCUCCUGCGCACCGCAGGCCCUCAAAGGCAGCGGCGGGUGCGCCUACGGACCGAACGCAGUAGUUUCCUCUCGUUCUGGUCUCCGCGGGCGCGCUCCGGCCGUUAAACCCCUAGACUCCCCAUGGUUGACCUCGGAUCAGGUAGGAAUACCCGCUGAACUUAAGCAUAUCAAUAAGCGGAGGA
rnacentral:misc_RNA from 1 species